rnacentral:lncRNA from 1 species
AAGCCCCAAAUGACCGAUGCAUCGUAGAACACCGUGUCGCCUGGACAAGUCCAAACAGAGGAUGUAUCCUGGCAUAUGUCUGGUAUGGUUUCCAUUAACCACCAUGCAGUGCUCAAAUACACAAUACUUGCUAUAAGUGUUCCUACAACCUGAGUAAUUAACCAUCUUCAAUCAAACUUUACAUUGAGAAAACAUUUGGUUUAUAUGAGUGUGGAUCAAUAGUGAAGUAACACAUCUAUAUUAGGAUGAAUUGUUCAUUAAAUGAUGUCUAAAUAAGUUGUAUAAAUAAGGGUAGUUAUAUAUGGUCACAUCUUUUUCCAACAUGUAUGAUGAAAAGAUAUUUUGAUUAUGAACAUUUACAAAACUAGCUAGAGUGAUUACUCAUUUCCGUCUCUCGUGUUUUUCGAUUUUACCAAUUUGGUCCCUCAAAAAUUGAAAAACCUAAAAAAGAUCCCAAAAACUUCAUACAUAGGUUAAAUUGGUCAUUUUAGGGUCAAACUAGUCUCUAUCAGGUAUAGUAAAAACAUGAUAAAAAAAACUAAUUUGACCCACAUUUAAAAUUUUUUGGACCAAUUUGAAUUUUUAAAAUUUUGAGAGACCAAACUGAUAAGAUCAAAAAACACAAACGACUGGAAUGAAUAUUUAUUUAUUUAUUUAUUUAUUUUUUUUUUGCAUGUUGAAGUAAAAUUAACAACUUGCUAAUAAAAAAACUAUAACUUGAAACCUUGCAUACCAUUUUGAAAUUAUUUAAAUGGUUUUAGUAAAAAAUGUGUAAAAAUGAAAGAUGAAUAUUGACCUGUGCCAUGAACAUGGUCCUAGGAGGGAUUUUCAUAUAGUGACCAAGCUUGAAGUCUUGCAAGAAAGUGAUAGCUUGUGUCAUACUAAUGUAACCAUAAACCUUAAAGCACAUGUUUGCAACAGGAUAACCUGGGUAGAUAUAUCCUAUCACAUAUUCUGUGAUUAUGUUCAAUCCAGGUGACUGUAGUAAAUAGUACAAAUUACAAAGUUAGACAAAAAAAACAAUGAAAAAUGGAGAACUUUUUUGUAUUCAAUAGUACUAACUAACCUGAUUUGUGAGUGCAGUGAUUAUCCCAAUGGGUAGAGUGAAGAAUAUAGCUAUGGCACAUGCAAGUAAAACACCCCACCAAGGUAAUUGAAGUUGAUCAUUGUAAUACUCACAAGCAAAGAUUGUAGCUGCAAUAUUUGCAAUGAGUAUGCACACAAACCACCACUCAGGAACUUGCUUGUAUUUUCUCAUAAGCUUUGUGUGAAUAUCCAUUUUUCUUUCCUUAAAACUUGAUUUGCUUUGUUCCCAUAUUUCUCUGCAUUUUCAUCUCAUACUUAAUAAUAUUAACAUGAAUCUUUUAUGUAGUUUAGAAUUUGAAGUGUGAAAAGAUUGAGUACUAACCUUCCAUGAAAGAGACCAACAUGCACAAUGGUAGCAGAAAGUGCAGCAAAACCAAC